UUCAAUUUUCCUAACCCCCGUCUCCACACAGCUCUCCCCUCCCCCGUCUGAAAUCGGCGCCGCGAUUCGCGUCACCGCCGCUGCAGGCGUCGUCGCUCCAUCUCCACAGCAGACUCCCCCUUCGGCCCUUCCCUGCCCCUAUUCGCCGGCGGCGUGGCCACAGUCCAGCCCCAAGUUGCGCCGCCGCCCCUUCCCCUGCAAGCCCUUCCAUCUGCAUCGCCGCCUCUUUCUUUCUUCAAUCGGCGGCUCCACCCCCCACCGCUCUCUCCGCCGCUCCCGCAGCCUCAGCCGCUUCUCCCGCCCCAUUGCGCCGGAGCCGGAGGCCGAGAUGGACUACAUCAAAAACGUGCCCAGGGGAAAAUUCGUCAACACCACGAGGGGCUCGACCUCGCUGGCACCAACCGCGAAUCGCCGAGCCCCUAGAUCCCCAAAGUCUCACCGCCUCUUUGUGAUUUCCGGCGACCACGGCAGCCAUGUCCGCCGAUCUGCCACCUCCCUUCCCCCAUAUGGUAAGUAUUAAAUGUUUGACUAUUUUAAAUAUAGAAUGAUUAUUAUUUUAGNAGUAAUUUAUACGAUUUAGGUUUGAAUCAGAAUAUGAAUCAGGAUCUGGCACGGGUCAAUCCAAUUGUACGAUACACCUAGUAGUAUCCAAGAUCACCUCAAUAAAAAAAUAUUUCACAAUAUAAAUUAAAUUUUAUUUUCUGUCCUUAAAUUGUAAAAAUUUAUUGUGAAUUCAUUAAUUUAUUAGAUAAAUUUAUGAUCAAAAGUUUGAAUCUAUAGGGAUCAAAUUUGUACACAUCCAUAUAUAUUUUAUAUUGAAUUUGUAUAUUUUCAUAACAAAUUUAUACAUAUUCUACACAUAAUUCACAAAUUCAUAAUUUUUUUUAAGCAAAUUGUCUAUUAAAUUUAUACUACUUUUAUAAUGAAUUUGUACAAAUUCUAUAUAAAUUCAUGAUUUUAUAAUUUAUAUUUUAAAUAUUUAAAUUUAUUCCUAAAUUACAUAGAAAAUGGUUUACCAUUGAAAGUUCAUCAUGUACAUAAAAUACUACUAUCAUUUAUCACAUAUUACCACUUCAUGUAUUUCUACACAUCUAUCUCAUUUUCAAACUCAUUAAUGUUUUACAUUCUUUUGCAUUAAUUAAUACAAUAAAAUCAGACAUAUUUCCUCCUAAAUACAUGUGACAUAUAAAAAAGAAUCAAUAUAUAAUACGAUUAAGGAAUCUUGCGCUCUCCUUAAUCCGGGGUCCUACGUGGCCUAUCUAAGAAUUCAAGAUUUAAAAUCCCUGCAAUUCUAGAACUUCUGGCAUAAUAUUAGUCAUCCUAUGUGGCAAAAUAUAUCCUACAUGGCAUAUCUUACUUUAAACAAUCUCUUAAAACACAAAAUGAAUAUUUCUCUUCCUCAAAUUCAAUUUCCCUAACCCCCGUCUCCACACAGCUCUCCCUCCCCCGUCUGAUUCGCGUCACCGCCGCUGCAGGCGUCGUCGCUCCAUCUCCACACCAGACUCCCCCUUCGGCCCUUCCCUGCCCCUAUUCGCCGGCGGCGUGGCCACAGUCCAGCCCCAAGUUGCGCCGCCGCCCCUUCCUCCUAUCGUUUCUCUGACCUUUCUGCAUCUCCACACCAGCCGCUGCAUCGCUAAAAAUCCCUUCCCCCGCAAGCCCUCCGAUCAUCGCCGCCUCUUUCUUUCUUCAAUCGGCGGCUCCACCCCCCACCGCUCUCUCCGCCGCACAUUCACCCUCACCUGCCUCUUAAUUCCUCCACCAGAUUUCCACCAACUGCACUCGGAUUCCAGUCGCCACCGCCGCCUUCACCGCGCCGGCCACCUCCCUUCCCCCGCAAGCCCUCCGAUCUGCAUCGCCGCCUCUUUCUUUCUUCAAUCGGCGGCUCCACCCCCACCGCUCUCUCCGCCGCUCCCGCAGCCUCAGCCGCUUCUCCCGCCCCAUUGCGCCGGAGCCGGAGGCCGAGAUGGACUACAUCAAAAACGUGCCCAGGGGAAAAUUCGUCAACACCACGAGGGGCUCGACCUCGCUGGCACCAACCGCGAAUCGCCGAGCCCCUAGAUCCCCAAAGUCUCACCGCCUCUUUGUGAUUUCCGGCGACCACGGCAGCCAUGUCCGCCGAUCUGCCACCUCCCUUCCCCCAUAUGGUAAGUAUUAAAUGUUUGACUAUUUUAAAUAUAGAAUGAUUAUUAUUUUAGAAAGAACAAAUUUUGGAAAGAUUUUUAACAAUGGAAACAUAAACCCUAGAUUUUUAUGUUAAUUAAUUUUCGGUAGCUGCAAAGAAAUUUUUUUGGAAACAAUUUUAUCAAAGGAAACUUAAACCCUAGAUUUUCAUCUAUAAAUUCAUUAGUUGAAUUAUUAAAGAUACAGCAGACGCAAGGUAACCUUCUUCUUCUUCUUCUUCUUCUUCUUCUUCUUUUGUUGUCUUUCUUUUCUUUUGUAUUAACGCGGCAAUACCUCCUUCUUCUUUUUCUUCUUUUUUCCAGAUUUUUUGUUUAGAGGAUUAAGGGAUUGCUUACUUCCCUGUUUUUACAGCCACACAAGGUAUCUUUCUUUCUUCUGUUGCUGCGUUUUUUCAUCUUUUGCUCUUCUUGAAUUUCGACUGAAUUUGGUGGCUAUGUGUAGAUUAGUUGCUUUACAUUUCCUUUUAGUGAUGAAUAAGUUUUGGGCUUUGAACUUUUGCUCAUUUUGUGUUGAAUUGCUAUUGAUUCGUGGAUUGGAGUGUAGGAGGUCAAGUAUUAUCAAUCUAUAAUAAUAAGCACACGCACAUACCUUUGAACAUUUCUAAGAGUUUGAUUGAAUUUGGAAUCAGUAACUGGAGGUGAAGAAGAAACUUCUUGCCGCUGUGCUCCAAAACUCAACGAGGGCCGUCGUUCAACCUUGCCUCCCCUUCCUGAAGACCCGCCACUGUCCCUGUGCCGUCGUCGGAGACUCCUCUGCCUCGACGAAAAAGGCAGCCACCCCGGGCUCUCGCAAGUGAAAUGAGAGUCUCACACAAACAGGUAAACUAAUAAUUGUUUAUGUGUAGUAUGUUGGGAACAAGCUUAGAAAUUGAUUGAGUUCCACAUCUAUCACUUCUGUCUAUUGAUCAUUGCUUCUGGUAGGGGUAGUUUCGGAACCCAUGGUAUUCUGAUCUGGUGUUUUUCGAGAUGAUGAAGAACUAUAUGAUUGGUUUUGGUUGAAUUUGCGGAUCUGAUGGAUGAUUGAUUCGUUUAUUUUGUAAUUGAAACUGGUGCUUUCAAUUUUGUAUCUAAUUUUCAUAUAUUAGUGGUGCUUUCAAUUUGUCGUGAUUCUUCGUGUUUAUCAAAUACUUUUUUUAUUAAAUAUGAGGGCUGAUUUUCGAUUGAAGAUGGGCUGAUUUUCGAUGGGUGUUGAUGGGUGAUUUAAAUUUAAAUAUGGACAGGUUGGAUUGAAGAUUGAAGAUACGAGGGAAGAGGAAGAAGAGGAGGAGAAUGAGCAUGAUGAAUGAAGAGGGCUAACAUUUUAGUGUUGUUGCCUCUGCAAAUGGCCCCAAUCCGAAGUAGGAGAAAACCAAGAACGGCCCCAAUCCGAGUAGUCUGAAGCAGGAGAAAACCAAGAAGUUGAUCUCCAGCAGCGCCCCAGAUCAUACUGAUCCAAAGCUGUCAAGUUUGCUACCGAAAAAGAAAGUUAAACGGAAGCCUGAUGCCAAGGUGGUCGAAGCCACAUUCCGCCUCGAGAAGCUGGUGGUUUCGUAGGGCGGAGAAACGACAUUAACUUGAUAAUCACUUGGGUGUUGUUUAUCUGUGUAAAGCAUUGAACUACCGUUGAUAGUUGAUUACAGUUGAUAGUUGAGUAGUUUUUUAGUUAGAUUUUUUGUUAUGGUGUAUUAAUCUUUGUGGUAAUUUUUGUAAUUAUUGCCACUGAACUACAGUUUAUAGAGGAUUUUGAAGGUUCUCUAUUACAAGUUAGAUUAGUUGUAGAGCUCAUAGAUUAAAUUUGGCCGUCUCUUUUCUCUUUUUGUUGUGGGGAAGGUUGACUACUAUUUUAUUGGUGA
rnacentral:lncRNA from 1 species